rnacentral:rRNA from 1 species
AAAUUGAAGAGUUUGAUCAUGGCUCAGAUUGAACGCUGGCGGCAGGCCUAACACAUGCAAGUCGAACGGUAACAGGAAGCAGCUUGCUGCUUCGCUGACGAGUGGCGGACGGGUGAGUAAUGUCUGGGAAACUGCCUGAUGGAGGGGGAUAACUACUGGAAACGGUGGCUAAUACCGCAUAACGUCGCAAGACCAAAGAGGGGGACCUUCGGGCCUCUUGCCAUCAGAUGUGCCCAGAUGGGAUUAGCUGGUAGGUGGGGUAACGGCUCACCUAGGCGACGAUCCCUAGCUGGUCUGAGAGGAUGACCAGCCACACUGGAACUGAGACACGGUCCAGACUCCUACGGGAGGCAGCAGUGGGGAAUAUUGCACAAUGGGCGCAAGCCUGAUGCAGCCAUGCCGCGUGUAUGAAGAAGGCCUUCGGGUUGUAAAGUACUUUCAGCGGGGAGGAAGGUGUUGUGGUUAAUAACCGCAGCAAUUGACGUUACCCGCAGAAGAAGCACCGGCUAACUCCGUGCCAGCAGCCGCGGUAAUACGGAGGGUGCAAGCGUUAAUCGGAAUUACUGGGCGUAAAGCGCACGCAGGCGGUCUGUCAAGUCGGAUGUGAAAUCCCCGGGCUCAACCUGGGAACUGCAUUCGAAACUGGCAGGCUUGAGUCUUGUAGAGGGGGUAGAAUUCCAGGUGUAGCGGUGAAAUGCGUAGAGAUCUGGAGGAAUACCGGUGGCGAAGGCGGCCCCCUGGACAAAGACUGACGCUCAGGUGCGAAAGCGUGGGGAGCAAACAGGAUUAGAUACCCUGGUAGUCCACGCCGUAAACGAUGUCUACUUGGAGGCUGUGCCCUUGAGGCGUGGCUUCCGGAGCUAACGCGUUAAGUAGACCGCCUGGGGAGUACGGCCGCAAGGUUAAAACUCAAAUGAAUUGACGGGGCCCGCACAAGCGGUGGAGCAUGUGGUUUAAUUCGAUGCAACGCGAAGAACCUUACCUGGUCUUGACAUCCACGGAAGGUCUCAGAGAUGAGACUGUGCCUUCGGGAGCCGUGAGACAGGUGCUGCAUGGCUGUCGUCAGCUCGUGUUGUGAAAUGUUGGGUUAAGUCCCGCAACGAGCGCAACCCUUAUCCUUUGUUGCCAGCGGUCCGGCCGGGAACUCAAAGGAGACUGCCAGUGAUAAACUGGAGGAAGGUGGGGAUGACGUCAAGUCAUCAUGGCCCUUACGACCAGGGCUACACACGUGCUACAAUGGCGCAUACAAAGAGAAGCGACCUCGCGAGAGCAAGCGGACCUCAUAAAGUGCGUCGUAGUCCGGAUUGGAGUCUGCAACUCGACUCCAUGAAGUCGGAAUCGCUAGUAAUCGUGGAUCAGAAUGCCACGGUGAAUACGUUCCCGGGCCUUGUACACACCGCCCGUCACACCAUGGGAGUGGGUUGCAAAAGAAGUAGGUAGCUUAACCUUCGGGAGGGCGCUUACCACUUUGUGAUUCAUGACUGGGGUGAAGUCGUAACAAGGUAACCGUAGGGGAACCUGCGGUUGGAUCACCUCCUUACCUUAAAGAAGC